rnacentral:rRNA from 1 species
AGCAGCCGCGGUAAUUCCAGCUCCAAUAGCGUAUAUUAAAGUUGUUGCAGUUAAAAAGCUCGUAGUUGAAUUUCGGGAUUGACACAUCGGUCGUGCCUUAAGGGGUAUGAACUGGUCUAGUCAAUUUCUCACCUUCUGGAGAACCGCGAUGCCCUUAAUUGGGUGUCACGGGGAACCAGGACCUUUACUUUGAAAAAAUUAGAGUGUUUAAAGCAGGCAUUUUGCUUGAAUACAUUAGCAUGGAAUAAUAAAAUAGGACGGCAUGAUUCUAUUUUGUUGGUUUCUAGGAUCACCGUAAUGAUUAAUAGGGAUGGUUGGGGGCAUUAGUAUUCAAUUGUCAGAGGUGAAAUUCUUGGAUUUAUUGAAGACUAACUACUGCGAAAGCAUUUGCCAAGGAUGUUUUCAUUGAUCAAGAACGAAAGUUAGGGGAUCGAAGACGAUCAGAUACUGUCGUAGUCUUAACCAUAAGCUAUGCCGACUAGGAAUCAGACGAUGUUAAUCUUUUAAUGACUCG